GCACCCAAUGACAGAGGAGAGGGAGGUCAGAGCACCCAAUGACAGAGGAGAGGGAGGUCAGAGCACCCAAUGACAGAGGAGAGGGAGGGCAGAGCACCCAAUGACAGAGGAGAGGGAGGUCAGAGCACCCAAUGACAGAGGAGAGGGAGGUCAGAGCACCCAAUGACAGAGGAGAGGGAGGUCAGAGCACCCAAUGACAGAGGAGAGGGAGGGCAGAGCACCCCUUGACAGAGGAGAUGGAGUGCAGAGCACCCAAUGACAGAGGAGAGGGAGGGCAGAGCACCUAAUGACAGAGGAGAGGGAGGGCAGAGCACCCAAUGACAGAGGAGAGGGAGGGCAGAGCACCCAAUGACAGAGGAGAGGGAGGUCAGAGCACCCAAUGACAGAGGAGAGGGAGGUCAGAGCA